GCCUGCCAGUGAUACAUUUAACGGCCGCGGGAUCCCUCCCACCGUGCAAAGGUAGCAUAAUCACUUUGUCCCCUAAAUAGAGACUAGUAUGAAUGGCCAAAUGAAGAUUUACCUGUCUCUUGCAGUUAAUCUAUUAAACUGAUCUUUCAGUACAAAAGCUGAAAUAUAAACAUAAGACGAAAAGACCCUGUGGAACUUAAAGAAACAGUCAACAAAAAUGACCCUGCCACUUUUAGUUGGGGCAACUUUGGAAAAAAACAAAACUUCCAAUAAAUAACUAAGGCAGACAUGCCUACGCCAAUUACACCAGACCCAGUAUUACUGAACAACGAAAAAGCUACCCCAGGGAUAACAGCGCCAUCCCCCUCUUAGAGCCCCCAUCGACGAGCGGGGUUUACGACCUCGAUGUUGGAUCAGGGCCCCCAAGCAGUGCAGCAGCUGCUAAAGGUUUGUUUGUUCAACAAUUAAAGCCCUACGUGAUC
rnacentral:rRNA from 1 species